rnacentral:tRNA from 1 species
AGGGAUAGAGCUCAGUUGGCAGAGUGCUUACCUAGCACGUGUGAAGUCUGGGUUCAACUCCCAGCCCUA